GACAAUCCGCAGCCCCUGGGUCUCUGAAGUUACUGGCCAAAAGUCUGAAAACUUUCCCCAACAACAACGCGGAAAAUGACACUUUGGCUCCACCUGGUUUUCUUUGCAGAGGCUCUGGAAGGGGCCCGCUCGCAGGUGGUUCUGACCCAGUCGGGGCCAGCGCUGAAGAAGCCCGGAGAGUCCCAGAAACUGCAAUGUGCCGCCAGCGGGUUCACUCUUAGCAGCACCUGGAUGGGCUGGAUCAGACAGGAGCAGGGACAGGGGCUGGAGUGGCUGGCGCGGUAUUACAGUGAGGGAAGCAAGUACUACGCCUCCUCCGUCCAGGGCCGGCUCACAGCCUCCAAGGACAGCACCAACUUCUCCCUGCAAACGACCGGCCUGAGAGCGGAGGACCCCGCCGUGUAUUACUGCGCCAGACACACAGCGAGGGGAAGAGAGUCUGAGCUCAGACAAAAACCUCCCCCUGCAGUAACAGCACGACGUGUCCGCUGCUGAGGGCGCGAACCAGCCCCCGACUGCCCGGGACAGGCGAUGAGAGCAGCCCGGAGAAAGUCUCCCAGGCUAGAAAUACUUGCAGACUGGUGCAGUUUCAGAAUCGGUUUCACUCACUCCCCCUGGAACUCCUCUGAGCAUCACACAGGGUGCU